AAUUAAAAAGUGAAAUUUUACAUUUAGUUUCGACCUAAACUUUGGCUUAUUUAGCCUUUAAUUU
rnacentral:tRNA from 1 species